rnacentral:rRNA from 1 species
GAUGAACGCUGGCGGCGUGCCUAAUACAUGCAAGUCGAGCGCACGGACGAGAAGCUUGCUUCUCUGAUGUUAGCGGCGGACGGGUGAGUAACACGUGGAUAACCUACCUAUAAGACUGGGAUAACUUCGGGAAACCGGAGCUAAUACCGGAUAAUAUUUUGAACCGCAUGGUUCAAAAGUGAAAGACGGUCUUGCUGUCACUUAUAGAUGGAUCCGCGCUGCAUUAGCUAGUUGGUAAGGUAACGGCUUACCAAGGCAACGAUGCAUAGCCGACCUGAGAGGGUGAUCGGCCACACUGGAACUGAGACACGGUCCAGACUCCUGCGGGAGGCAGCAGUAGGGAAUCUUCCGCAAUGGGCGAAAGCCUGACGGAGCAACGCCGCGUGAGUGAUGAAGGUCUUCGGAUCGUAAAACUCUGUUAUUAGGGAAGAACAUAUGUGUAAGUAACUGUGCACAUCUUGACGGUACCUAAUCAGAAAGCCACGGCUAACUACGUG